AUUGAACGCUGGCGGCAUGCCUUACACAUGCAAGUCGAACGGAUCAGAGGAGCUUGCUCUUCUGGUUAGUGGCGAACGGGUGAGUAAUGCAUCGGAACGUACCCAGUAGUGGGGGAUAACGUAGCGAAAGUUACGCUAAUACCGCAUACGACCUGAGGGUGAAAGCAGGGGAUCGCAAGACCUUGCGCUAUUGGAGCGGCCGAUGUCGGAUUAGCUAGUUGGUAGGGUAAAAGCCUACCAAGGCGACGAUCCGUAGCUGGUCUGAGAGGACGACCAGCCACACUGGGACUGAGACACGGCCCAGACUCCUACGGGAGGCAGCAGUGGGGAAUUUUGGACAAUGGGGGAAACCCUGAUCCAGCCAUGCCGCGUGAGUGAAGAAGGCCUUCGGGUUGUAAAGCUCUUUCAGACGGAAAGAAAUCUUCCGGGCUAAUACCUCGGGAGGAUGACGGUACCGUAAGAAGAAGCACCGGCUAACUACGUGCCAGCCGCCGCAGUAAAAC
rnacentral:rRNA from 1 species